rnacentral:lncRNA from 1 species
AUGCCGGUGGCCCAGGGCCCCACCCCAGACCUCCUGAAUCAGGUGAUUGCCAUGUUCAAGUCUGAGAAACACGGAUGCCCGCAGGUGAAGCUGCUCCUGCCGGCCCAGAGGCCACACUCCGAGGAUGGCUCAGCCUUGGCUGCGUGUCAGCCUGGCUGGGGCUGUCAGAAGUGUGCAGCUGUGGCCUCCCGCUGAAGAUUCGACUCAGAAACCGUCUGCUGCCAGGAAAACCAUGGAAUCGGCCCCUCCCAGGUGUGCAGCUGCCUCUCAUCUUCCUUUCAUCCCUGUCAAGGCUAGGAACUGAUUGCUGCGCUCACCUGUGACCACCCAGCUUGAG